rnacentral:rRNA from 1 species
CCGGAGCUUGCUCCGGUGAAAGUGGCGCACGGGUGAGUAACGCGUGGAUAAUCUGCCCUGGUAUCUGGGAUAACAUCUCGAAAGGGGUGCUAAUACCGGAUAAGCCUACGGGAUCCUCGGAUUCUGCAGGAAAAGGKGGCCUCUAUUUAUAAGCUACCGUAUCAGGAUGAGUCCGCGUACCAUUAGCUAGUUGGUGGGGUAAUGGCCCACCAAGGCUACGAUGGUUAGCUGGUCUGARAGGAUGAUCAGCCACACUGGAACUGAGACACGGUCCAGACUCCUACGGGAGGCAGCAGUGGGGAAUUUUGCGCAAKGGGGGAAACCCUGACGCAGCAACGCCGCGUGAGUGAUGAAGGCUUUCGGGUCGUAAAGCUCUGUCAGAGGGGAAGAAAUGAGACUGGCUAAUAUCCAGUUUUCUUGACGGUACCCUCAAAGGAAGCACCGGCUAACUCCGUGCCAGCAGCCGCGGUAAUAC